GGGACACGUCGCCGCCCCGCUCGUAGGAGCUGUGGCGGCUGUAGCUGGGGAGCGGCGGCGGCUGUAGGGGCUCAGGGAGCGCGGCAGCCGCCGAGAAUAGGGGCUGCUGCCACCUCCUGCCGGGCUGGGGGACUUGCGGCUCCUCAGGCUCUGAGAGGCCCUGUGGGACACCGGGCUGUCGUCCCGGCCUCCCAGCGGGCUGAGGGACCGCCGCCGCCUAUAGGCCUUGGGCUCGGUCUUGUCCUCUCGGUAGGCCUUGGGCGGUUCCUUAUAGGCCGAAGGCGGCUCCUUGGACGUUUUAGUCCGGCUGCGGUGGGCCUUCGAGUCCCGGUCCUUGCGGCUGCUACUGCUGCUGGACGUGGCCGAGGCGCUUUUCCGGCGGCCGCCGCUGCUGCUGCUGCCGCUCUUGGCGGCCUCGGCCCGCUCCUCGCCGCUGUGGCUGUGGCGGCUGCGGGACUUGGAGGCCUCGCUGCCACCGCGCUGUCCAUCUCGCCGCCGGUGCUCGCGGUGGCGCUCCUUGCUGCGGCCACUGCUGCUGCGGCGGUCCCGGCGGGGCCUGCGCUCCGACCCCUCCCCGCGCCGCUGGGUGCCGGAGGAGGAGGCCGGACUCCCGCCGCUGCCCCCCGUUCCCCCGGCAGCCGUCGCCGCCGUUGCCGCGCUGGCCCCCCCAGCAGCAGCCCCUGCUCGGACUGGGAGCUCACAUCCUCGUAUUCCACCAGCGGGGUCACACCCCCGCCGCUACUAGCACCGCCACCGCCGUCCUGCUGCGGCUGGGGCAGCGAGAAGACCCGACGCUUCUCCGCCUCCUGCCCGGCGCGGGGCCCGCGGCGCCGCUUCUGCUGCCCUCCUGCGCGCCUCUUGCCUCUCGCCAGCCGCUUGACCUCCAGAGGGGGGCCCGGGCUGAAGCAGAGGAGGAGGCCGCGGCGGCGGCGGCUGCGGCGGCGGCCGUGCCGGGAGCAGCCAGGAAGAGCAGAGGCGGCGGGGGCGGCGGCGGUUGCAGGAGCUGCGGCUGUAGGAGCGGCAACAGCAGCGGCGGCUGCUGAGGGGACAGGAAUCGCCUCCGCUUGCGGCGUUCCUCCAACUUCUUCUCCGCCCAACUCAGGCCCCCGCCUCCCCCCAGCGCCGUGUCCGAGCUGCUCGGCAUCGCCUAGAGCCAGCCGCAGAGCGCGGCGCGGGUGCGGCCUCCUCCCGGGUCAGAUCCUGGCCAUCUCCCCCGCCGGAAACGGGAGCGGCGGCGGAGGGACACCGAGCACCAGGACCGGCCGGGAGACGCGCCACGAUAAUCCGGGUCGGGACUCGGGUCCCAGGGUUCCAGGUCACAGUGGGGUACGCAGCGGCCUCCGGGCCUCAGAGAAGCAAGAAUCCGGGCGGCGGAGCUCCCGAUCGCGCUCGUCGUCCUAUACCUCGGCAGCGAAAACACCAGAUGCGCCGGGCGCUGACCUGCGGGGGAGUCCCGAGUCCUCCAAGUGCCCCCUGGGGGUGGGGGAGCGGCCUCGGCCGCGCUCUCGGCUCGGGCAGCGCAACGCGGAAGUACCACCUUCGUCGCCGCUUCACUCCAUCGCGCCCUGA
ensembl:lncRNA